GACGUGCUAAUCUGCGAUAAGCGUCGGUAAGGUGAUAUGAACCGUUAUAACCGGCGAUUUCCGAAUGGGGAAACCCAGUGUGAUUCGUCACACUAUCAUUAACUGAAUCCAUAGGUUAAUGAGGCGAACCGGGGGAACUGAAACAUCUAAGUACCCCGAGGAAAAGAAAUCAACCGAGAUUCCCCCAGUAGCGGCGAGCGAACGGGGAGCAGCCCAGAGUCUGAAUCAGUGUGUGUGUUAGUGGAAGCGUCUGGAAAGGCGCGCGAUACAGGGUGACAGCCCCGUACACAAAAAUGCACAUGCUGUGAGCUCGAUGAGUAGGGCGGGACACGUGGUAUCCUGUCUGAAUAUGGGGGGACCAUCCUCCAAGGCUAAAUACUCCUGACUGACCGAUAGUGAACCAGUACCGUGAGGGAAAGGCGAAAAGAACCCCGGCGAGGGGAGUGAAAAAGAACCUGAAACCGUGUACGUACAAGCAGUGGGAGCCUCUUUUAUGGGGUGACUGCGUACCUUUUGUAUAAUGGGUCAGCGACUUAUAUUCUGUAGCAAGGUUAACCGAAUAGGGGAGCCGAAGGGAAACCGAGUCUUAACUGGGCGUUAAGUUGCAGGGUAUAGACCCGAAACCCGGUGAUCUAGCCAUGGGCAGGUUGAAGGUUGGGUAACACUAACUGGAGGACCGAACCGACUAAUGUUGAAAAAUUAGCGGAUGACUUGUGGCUGGGGGUGAAAGGCCAAUCAAACCGGGAGAUAGCUGGUUCUCCCCGAAAGCUAUUUAGGUAGCGCCUCGUGAAUUCAUCUCCGGGGGUAGAGCACUGUUUCGGCAAGGGGGUCAUCCCGACUUACCAACCCGAUGCAAACUGCGAAUACCGGAGAAUGUUAUCACGGGAGACACACGGCGGGUGCUAACGUCCGUCGUGAAGAGGGAAACAACCCAGACCGCCAGCUAAGGUCCCAAAGUCAUGGUUAAGUGGGAAACGAUGUGGGAAGGCCCAGACAGCCAGGAUGUUGGCUUAGAAGCAGCCAUCAUUUAAAGAAAGCGUAAUAGCUCACUGGUCGAGUCGGCCUGCGCGGAAGAUGUAACGGGGCUAAACCAUGCACCGAAGCUGCGGCAGCGACGCUUAUGCGUUGUUGGGUAGGGGAGCGUUCUGUAAGCCUGUGAAGGUGUGCUGUGAGGCAUGCUGGAGGUAUCAGAAGUGCGAAUGCUGACAUAAGUAACGAUAAAGCGGGUGAAAAGCCCGCUCGCCGGAAGACCAAGGGUUCCUGUCCAACGU
rnacentral:rRNA from 1 species